CCUACGGGAGGCAGCAGUGGGGAAUAUUGCACAAUGGGGGAAACCCUGAUGCAGCAAAGCAGCGUGAGUGAUGAAGUAUUUCGGUAUGUAAAGCUCUAUCAGCAGGGAAGUAGAAAGACGGUACCUGACUAAGAAGCACCGGCUAACUACGUGCCAGCAGCCGAGGUAAUACGGAGGGGGCGAGCGUUAUCCGGAUUUCCUGGGUGUAAAGGGAGCGUAGAGGGCUGGGCAAGUCUGAAGUGAAAGCCCGUGGCUCAACCGAGGAAUUGCUUUGGAAACUGUAUAGCUUGAGUACUGGAGAGGUAGGCGGAAUUCCUAGUGUAGCGGUGAAAUGCGUAGAUAUUAGGAGGAACACCAGUGGCGAAGGCGGCCUGCUAGACAGAAACUGACGUUGAGGCUCGAAAGCGUGGGGAGCAAACAGGAUUAGAUACCCUUGUAGUC
rnacentral:rRNA from 1 species